GAUAAAGUUGCACUUUAAAGAGUGGUAAGUGAAGAAUUACUGUAGAUUGGAAAUAGACAAGUGCAAAGAGACAGCUAAUUCCAAAUCUGACUUCCACAUAUUUUUAAUCCGUCUGGAGCAGGUGGAACGUCAAUCUGGAUCAGGUGUAAUGACACUACCACUGCGCCACAAGAACUCCUCAGAUUAUACUUUCAAUGUCAAAUAAUUGAAUCAAUUACUAAGAGGAGGAUUAUCCGUCUCAGAUGAGACAAUUGAAUGUCAUUCAUUCAGUUUGAAAUAGAUUGCGAGCUGUGAUACUGUUUAAUGUACAAUUUAGGCUUAUUACCAAAUAAACAGUUCAUUGAAGUGACCUCAAUCUUUUUAAAUUUGAGUGAAACCAUUUUGUUUUAAGUUAGUGCUAUUAACUUCAACCUAUUCCUUCAUCCAUUCCAUGAAGACAGAAUGCACAUCAAAAAUGCGAAGUUUAACAGGCUACUUUAGCUGAUGCUUACAGGAGUUUGCAGACUCUGGUUCUGAUUUCCUGGAACUUUUCUGGAAGAAGAUUAUAGACUCUAGCUUAUUCAGUUGUUGAUGUCACAUGGCCCACCUGAAAAUCACUGUCCAUUGAAGGUUUCAUGCGUGGCCGUGGAAGCUGGUCUGAAGCUUGCAACUAACUCCAGUUUCAGAUGGGAACUUCAGGCUGUGACAAUAGCCUGUUAGUACCUAGCAAAGCAGUUCAGUGGUCAAAGAUCUAAGGAAUCUGUCAUCCAGGAAGCAUGCAAUGGAACAGCAGAAAUAAACAACACUGGGCAGCCUGACAGAAUGGCAUCGAGAACAUUGAUGGACACUGCAUGCUCCUUCUCCAUGAACACCCUGGCAGAAACAUAACUGUGGAGGAGGUAUAGACAGUUAUUGGAAAUGACCACUCCCACAGCCCGCUGCCUGGAUUUGUUUAUAGCCAACCCGGCCAGGCCCAGGAACUGACCCAAGAGCAAGUCCUCCGACCUCAAUCUCUGUUGUAUAUCAGUUGCCACCUGAUGACAUUUCAGAUUAUUUCUAUUGCCAUCACAGGAGUGUGCUAUAAUGUGAUUGUGGGCAAAUGAUAUGCAAGUAUUGAGAGUUUUUUUUUUCUGAAUAGACAAGUGUCAUAACUGCCCUUCAUCUGCUACCACACUCAGAUCAGCUGCUUUUUUGGAGAAAAUUAGACAACAGAUGGCAAUCCACUCUCUAAAUUAAAUAUAUUAGUUUUUAAGUGCUGUAAUCUUUCAAUUAUGUUUCUUCAGAUUUUGAAAAUAACACCUGAUUCCCAGAAGUAUGUCUGAUGCACAAUUUUGACAAAAUAUUACAUGACAGGUGUGUGGGUGUUAUAAGGAAGAAGGUCAGCGUUGUUUAAGUGAAACAAUAAAACAUGAUCUCUUACCUUUAUUUCUUCCAGCCUGUAUUGCCAAAAUGAUGAAUUAGUUUUUAAUUAACUUUGUCUUGUAUGGGUUAUAUUUUUCUGAUUACUUUACAAUUGAAGGUUUUUCAAAGGAAUGUUUUCUCUAUCAAUCACAACAACCUGGAUACAUUCAAUUUUUAUAGAUGCACUAUAGAAAGCAUUCUGUCUGGAUGCAUCAUGGCUUAUUAGGGCACCUGCUCUUCCCAGGACUGUAGUAAAUUACAGAGAGUUGAGAACACAGCCCAGUCCAUCACGCAAGCCAACCUUCCAUCCAGUGACUCCAUCUAUACCUCUGUUGCCUUGGAAGGACAUCAACUUAAUCCCACCCUGGUUAUAAUCUCUUCUAACCUCUUCCAUCGAACAAAACCUUAACACACAUAUACAACAGAUUCAAGAGCAGCUUUUUCCCCAUUGUUAAUAGACUUUUGAAUGAACCUUUCAAAUUUGAAAUUUAAUAUUGAUCUUGGUCUUUGUGCCCCUUCUCUACAGCUGUAACAUUGCAUUCUUUGCUCUGUUCUAGUACCCUAUUACAUGUAGUCUGGUACGAUCUGUCUGUACUAUAUGCAAAGCAAAACUCUUCACUGUACUAGAUACACGUGACAAUAAUAAAUCAAAUCAAAUCAAACAUUCUUCUCAAUAUGGAAAAGAAAAUCGAUAAAAUGUACAACCAGUUUCCAAUUUACAAUCACCCAAUUCUGCCCAAGAUGAACUUUAGCCUCAGUAUCAUUUUCCAUAGCAACCCUAUUUAAGAUGGCUCCUGUUGACCAAGCAUCUAACUUUCAUAAGCGAGGAGCACAUAGAAUUCUUUGUUGCUAUGAUCUUACAUUACACAAAGGUCAGCAGGGCAGUUCAGGCUUUUUGAGAUCUCAGUGGUGACUGUUUGAAAACAAAGCCAUUCAGAACGUCCUAGUGUGCAAAGCAGUUAUGGCCACCACAUUCCUGUAAUUGCAGUGAGAUCUGGACUGUCUUUCAGGGACACAUAAAAGUGCCAGAGAAAUUUCAUCAGCAAUACAUCUUCUACAUCCUCCAAAUUCACUGGGAGGACCAUUGAACCAACACUAGUGCCUUUUUUGAAGUCAGUCGUACAAAUAUUCAGGCAAAACUGAAAAACCAUGAUGGACUAGGCACUGUGUCCUAAUGGUCAGAAACUGCCUUCCCCGCCUGGUGCUCUUCCCCAGCUCUCAAAUGUUGAGCUUUCCAGAGGAAUGUAAAGACAAUGAUGUUCUGAAGCACACCAUGAUGCAUGAUAAUAAGUACCUCGAUGACUGGGAGGAGCUUGCAACUAGUCAUUCAGACUGGUGACAAGUUGUCCAACAAGCUUCAUCUCACUUUGAGUCACAAGAUUCUGCAUUCAGGAUGCCACUGCUGGAUGAUGACUAGCUUCCUGUAUAUUGUUAGAUUGCAUAUUGUUGGAACAGCUGUGUGCAUUGUUCAUGCAAAGUGUAUGAGUUCUGUGUACAAUUGCUCUCUGUAAGUUAGAUUUAUUGCCAUCAUCUUCUUUUGGGGUAGGGCUAUGAGGCCUACUUAGACUAGCAUGUUAGAGGAAGACCACUUGGUUAUGUGAUGUAAGGCUUGUCGUUUAUAUAUAUUUUAAUGUAACUUAUUCCAGAUUUUGGACUAGAAGUUCCAGAUCAGAAGUGUUGGGUUAGAACCUUGAAGGUGCUGCAAGUUCUAAACAUCUAAACUCAGUUAUAUGACUAAUCAACUUCCAAACUCUCAAGACCAUGAAUAGAAAGAUACAGUUAAUUUAAAUCUAUAGAUGAGAUAGAGAAGCAAACUCUGUCUAAUGUUUGAGUAAUGUAAAGUGAGGGUGUUGGGAUAGGUAGGAUUGUAUGUUACUAUAUGUUUCAAAAUCUUUCAAAUUGUGUUAUGUGUAAAUAGCUGGUUUAUACUAUUGUAUCUUUUCUUUUGUAUGAUAAUUCUUAAAAGCAAAUCUUAGCAUUGCGUUUCAGUGAAAGACCACCUUGUUACAUUAAAAAAAACAAUAAUCUAGCCUGCUUUUAGUUUUGAGUCUUUCAAUUUUAAAAAAAAUUUAAAAAAACUUAUUUCUAGUGAGGAUUUUCGUCUGGGAUCAGAUUUAUCCAUUCAUAACACCAGCUUGGAUCAUUAAAAUCAGUAGCUUUUGAGGGAUUUGAAUGAACUGGAUUUAAGAGUGAUCUGUGUCUCUAAGUUAAUGUGGUGGUACCAGAACUAAAGCAGUUGAGUUGUGGGGAGAUUUAUUGCAUGGGAUUUUAAGAUAGCUUUGAACGUUGCUCUGAGUUUUCUGGAAAUGGAAAAUAUAGCAGUGAACUUUUUGACUAAAGCUAAAUAAAGAAAUAAAAGACUGAUAAUAGUGAUGUACAGAAACAAACAUGCUUCCCUUGUCAUAAUAUCAAACAUACU